UGAGGAUAUUAAAUCAGAAAUUCUUCAAAAAAUCAUAACUAGCUAUUUGGCUAUUUAAUCGACGAAUUUCUUUAGCUAAUAGCCUAUUCGUAGUCCUAGCAUUAUAUUUUGAGAAUUUCGUAUCGAUCCGAGCCGAAUUGAAAAUGGCAGUGUACUGCACCUGCCUGUUUAUUCAUAUCUUUAAGUAUUUUUAUUUAAUAAUUCGGGCGGUAUAAAUAUUAUGAGGUAUAAGAGUUUUAUAGCUAGAAUGUCGUAGUCUACUAAAUAUAAAAGUUUGAAACCCAACAAGCUAAUUAUAGAAAUUAGCUUUUAAAUAAGCAGGUAGCUCCUAUGAAUAAGCAUAUAGCUCAGCUGAUUUGAGUAAAUAAUGGGGCAGGUGUACGUUGGAAAAGAUCUGGGUGAAAUUGCGAAAGCUAAGGAGCGUCGAUAAGAGAUAAGCAGUAGGGAAGCAUGCAUGGCACAUCCGAGACAGGGGACGUCUCGGGAUAUAGAAAGACAGACUGACCGUAACACUAUAUUGUGGGGCCCGAAGUAGGAGGUGACGACCUCAUGAUGCAGUGUGGCGGUAGCAUUUCUAGUAUGAGCCAAUUGAGGAUAUUACAAGUGAGCCGAUUUGUGAGCAAUCUUGGAAACAACCUAACGCGGUGACCUUAGAUGAGCUGAGAUUGUGUUCAACCUGAUUUGGCCUCGAUGAGUGAAAAACGAGGCUUGACGCUGUCAUUGCGGAUGAAGUAAAAUGUUGAAGUGGAAGAUGCAAUCAGCCUUCAAGUGAGAGAUUGUUGGGAUAUGAAGCCUGAUUAUAUCCUAAAAUCUAGGAAUAUGAUUUGAAUAUGAUUUAGAUAUUACCCUAGAUCUAGAUAUAUGAUUUGUAUAUUAUUGGCAUAGGUUUAGUUAUAAAUAUUCAUAUAUUCUCACUUUAACAUUUGUGUUGUAUAUUAUAUUCUAUAGUAAAAUUCCUGAUUUGACAGCGCCU